rnacentral:rRNA from 1 species
UACGUAGGGUGCGAGCGUUAAUCGGAAUUACUGGGCGUAAAGCGUGCGCAGGCGGUUCGUUAAGUCAGAUGUGAAAGCCCCGGGCUCAACCUGGGAACUGCAUUUGAAACUGGCGGGCUUGAGUGUGGCAGAGGGGGGUGGAAUUCCGCGUGUAGCAGUGAAAUGCGCAGAUAUCGGGAGGAACACCUAUGGCGAAGGCAGCUCGCUGGGACGUUACUGACGCUGAGACGCGAAAGCGUGGGGAGCAAACAGG